ACCAGCAAAGAGGGAUGGAGACAAUGAAAAUGCUCCCUUUCUCCUGUCCUCAGUGCCUGAUCAGUCAUGACCUGCUCAAGACGGAACUGAAGCUGGACCAGAACAACAAGAACAGCCCCAUACCCAAAGCAGGUCCAGUGCAACCUAACAACAGCAGUGUAACUGGGGAAGCUGCAAGCAUGAAGAGGAGGAACCAGUGUGGGGCUCUGUGGGGCACUGGGGGAAGCCAGGGGCCACUGAGAUAACCUUCAAGCACACAGGCCUGAAGCUAUACCAUACUGCAAUAGCAGCCCAGCUGCAGGAAUUGGAAAGCUGGGUAUGGUGCACUGUCCUUAGCAAAAGUAAUAGUACAGCCCAUACCACUAUAGUUUCUGAAAAAGUGACAUAACCCCCAACAAUAAUGGCCCAAAUACUGCUCUCUCAGCCUCAUGUAAACAAUGAGAAGUCAAACACAAAAGCAAGAAAACAUGCAUUUUUAAGUAGCCAAAGGAAUCAAUUGAACUGGACUCAGACAUGACUUGAAACUUAGAACUACUGGACUCAGACUUGAAAUAACUGUCGACCACAUAAAAGACUAGACAAUAAAAGGUAGACAAUAUAUCUAAAUAGGUGGGAAAUUUCAGUAGAAAUAAACUAUAAAAAUGAGUAAAAUAGAAACUUUUUUUUUAAAAGGCAGGGUAUUGAAGAUGAAGAAUUCCUUCAACAGACUCAUCAGCCAGCUAGACAUAACUAAGAAAAGAAUUGGUGGCCUUGAAGAUAGAGGAAUUACCAAAUUAACACA